GACGAACGCUGGCGGCGUGCUAAUACAUGCAAGUCGAGCGGACAGAAGGGAGCUUGCUCCCGGAUGUUAGCGGCGGACGGGUGAGUAACACGUGGGUAACCUGCCUGUAAGACUGGGAUAACUCCGGGAAACCGGGAGCUAAUACCGGAUAGUUCCUUGAACCGCAUGGUUCAAGGAUGAAAGACGGUUUCGGCUGUCACUUACAGAUGGACCCGCGGCGCAUUAGCUAGUUGGUGGGGUAAUGGCUCACCAAGGCGACGAUGCGUAGCCGACCUGAGAGGGUGAUCGGCCACACUGGGACUGAGACACGGCCCAGACUCCUACGGGAGGCAGCAGUAGGGAAUCUUCCGCAAUGGACGAAAGUCUGACGGAGCAACGCCGCGUGAGUGAUGAAGGUUUUCGGAUCGUAAAGCUCUGUUGUUAGGGAAGAACAAGUGCGAGAGUAACUGCUCGCACCUUGACGGUACCUAACCAGAAAGCCACGGCUAACUACGUGCCAGCAGCCGCGGUAAUACGUAGGUGGCAAGCGUUGUCCGGAAUUAUUGGGCGUAAAGGGCUCGCAGGCGGUUUCUUAAGUCUGAUGUGAAAGCCCCCGGCUCAACCGGGGAGGGUCAUUGGAAACUGGGAAACUUGAGUGCAGAAGAGGAGAGUGGAAUUCCACGUGUAGCGGUGAAAUGCGUAGAGAUGUGGAGGAACACCAGUGGCGAAGGCGACUCUCUGGUCUGUAACUGACGCUGAGGAGCGAAAGCGUGGGGAGCGAACAGGAUUAGAUACCCUGGUAGUCCACGCCGUAAACGAUGAGUGCUAAGUGUUAGGGGGUUUCCGCCCCUUAGUGCUGCAGCUAACGCAUUAAGCACUCCGCCUGGGGAGUACGGUCGCAAGACUGAAACUCAAAGGAAUUGACGGGGGCCCGCACAAGCGGUGGAGCAUGUGGUUUAAUUCGAAGCAACGCGAAGAACCUUACCAGGUCUUGACAUCCUCUGACAACCCUAGAGAUAGGGCUUUCCCUUCGGGGACAGAGUGACAGGUGGUGCAUGGUUGUCGUCAGCUCGUGUCGUGAGAUGUUGGGUUAAGUCCCGCAACGAGCGCAACCCUUGAUCUUAGUUGCCAGCAUUCAGUUGGGCACUCUAAGGUGACUGCCGGUGACAAACCGGAGGAAGGUGGGGAUGACGUCAAAUCAUCAUGCCCCUUAUGACCUGGGCUACACACGUGCUACAAUGGACAGAACAAAGGGCUGCAAGACCGCAAGGUUUAGCCAAUCCCAUAAAUCUGUUCUCAGUUCGGAUCGCAGUCUGCAACUCGACUGCGUGAAGCUGGAAUCGCUAGUAAUCGCGGAUCAGCAUGCCGCGGUGAAUACGUUCCCGGGCCUUGUACACACCGCCCGUCACACCACGAGAGUUUGCAACACCCGAAGUCGGUGAGGUAACCUUUAUGGAGCCAGCCGCCGAAAGUGGGGC
rnacentral:rRNA from 1 species